CAGUAGCCGCGGGAAUACAGAGGGUGCGAGCGUUAAUCGGAUUUACUGGGCGUAAAGCGUGCGUAGGCGGCUUCUUAAGUCGGAUGUGAAAUCCCUAAGCUUAACUUAGGAAUUGCAUUCGAUACUGGGAAGCUAGAGUAUGGGAGAGGAUGGUAGAAUUCCAGGUGUAGCGGUGAAAUGCGUAGAGAUCUGGAGGAAUACCGAUGGCGAAGGCAGCCAUCUGGCCUAAUACUGACGCUGAGGUACGAAAGCAUGGGGAGCAAACAGGAUUAGAUACCCCAGUAGUCCCUGUCUCUUAUAC
rnacentral:rRNA from 1 species